rnacentral:lncRNA from 1 species
CAUAUCUUCUCACUCCUCAGCAACUUUAUUAGGGCAGGUCAGUUGGUACAGGAGUCGGCGGAGGCAGAGUUGGGCUUAGCAGAAAGCCUGGAAGAUAAUGCUGGAAUGCAGAGGCACCGAGGAUGUGAUGCAGCAAGAAGGCCACUGUCUGCAAACCAGGAAGAGGGCUCUCACCAAGAACAGAAUCAGCCAGCACCUUGACCUUGGACUUCCAGCCUCCAGAACUAAACCAUCACCAUCUUCUUCUUCAUCAUCCCUUGAUUGAGGACCUAGUAUAUGGAGGGUACUAUGAAGAAGCUGUGGACAUACAGACAAGGUGCCUACAUUCAAAGAACUUAAAAUCAAGUGAGGAAACAGGCUGUACAGACAAACGUGAAAGCACCGUACCACGAUCAGAGUUGAUUGGAUAUGAGGCCUACAAAUCCGGUGUGCUGCCAUCAGUUGGACAGGUCGGCCAAGUUAUGGCAUCAUGAUCCAAGGAGAAAGGACUCUGUCAGGAUCUGCUCCAGCUUGAAGAAUGGCCAAGGCCGUCAACUGGAACAGCGCAGCUGCUUGCCAGCCUCCAGCCCUGGCCUGGCCACUUCCUGGAAAGUCAAUUGUUGUUCUGUGCUACAGCCCAGAGAGUAUAAAAGGCUAUCAGACCCAGGCAGGUUUGGUCUGUAUCUCAAAGACU